rnacentral:lncRNA from 1 species
GACUCUUAGUUGCUAGGUUGGUACUCUUUCCGGAAGUGGUUGUUGGCCGCUGCAGAGCAACACCCCGGCGUCCCUGGAAGCGGGGAGCCGGGGUGGUACUGGGGAAGCUGCACGGACCCGGGAGCGGUCGUCCAGUGCCUCCCGGGGCGGGGGGGCAGUUCAUUUUGAGAGAGGGAGAGAAUCUCAAGCAGGCUCUGACCUGCCAGCACGGAGCCCGAUGAGGGGCUUGAACUCAGACACCGAGGAUCACGACCUGAGCCGAAACGAGUCGGACGCUUAACUGAGCCACCGAGGCGCCCCUGGGAAAACAAUUUCUACCUAUUUGAGAGGAGGAGGACGUAGGUGUUCGAGCCCAUACCAACCAUGGCCGGGAGACCCAUCCGCAUAGGAGACCAGCUGGUUCUGGAGGAGGAUUAUGAUGAGACCUACAUCCCCAGUGAGCAAGAAAUUCUUGAAUUUGCCAGAGAGAUUGGUAUUGAUCCCGUCAAGGAGCCGGAACUGAUGUGGCUGGCGCGAGAGGGCAUUGUGGCCCCACUGCCCGUGGAGUGGAAGCCCUGCCAGGACAUCACAGGUGAUAUUUACUAUUUCAACUUUGCCAAUGGGCAGUCCACGUGGGACCAUCCAUGUGACGAGCACUAUCGGAACUUGGUGAUCCAAGAGCGGAGGAAGCUGUCAACUCCAGGAGCCGUUAACAAGAAAGACAAGAAAAAGAAGAAGGAAAAGAAAGACAAGAAGGACAAAGAGACCUCCAAAAGUCUGCUGGAGACACAGCCUGAGCAGGGACUUCUGCUGCCUCCUUCCUUUCUCCGCGGCCCAUCCCCUCUCCCAGCACCUGGCCUUGCUGAUCUGGACCUAGACCAAGAGAUGCAGGCUAGAAGCGAGGGCUCCUUUAAGAAAGGGAAGAGCCCAUGCAUGCUGGGUGACAUCCCCUCGCCUCUCGUGGGCACCCUGCCCAGCAAGCUUCAGCCACUCUCCAAGGGCCAAGCUUCCCGAACCCACCACAUCUUUGCCGGCGUGGAGAAAAUCUUAGGCAGGGCCCGAGCCCAGUGCAGAACAGAAUUGGGUGAUCAGCAGGGUCUGGGGAAACCCCAGAAGCCGACAGAGAAAAUCUCCCUGGGGUUUUCAGACCCUGAAAUAGAAGAUCUGGAACUGAGGACCAGACAGCAGAAGCCCAGUGCUCUGGGCCCUGAGAAUACCCGGCCCCUCCAGAAUGGGCAGGAUGUGCUGGAGAGCAGGUGCCAGGCCUCUGUCCACUCAGAGCUUUCUGAAACCAUCAGAGGUUUGGGCCACAUGGCCAAACGGGGCUCCACUGGCCCCGGCGGGGACAAGAGCCAGAGCCCCGUUCGCUCACCAUCCCCUGAGGAGGAGCCCUCCGGGUCCCCCUGUUCCUCUGACCACAUGCUGCCUCCCAGGAAGAACCCGCUGCUCUUGUUAGAUCAUGGCCCAGCUGAGGGCCUGAGCUGGCAGGGAGUUUGUGGAGAAGGUGGGAGUAGGGGCAGGGGGAGGAGGAGAAAAGAGCCCCCAGGACUGUGGAUGGGACAGGUGUCCAAGCUUGUCGACAAGGAUACCCCCGGCAGCUGCAAGGAGACAGAACCCAGUGACCCUGAGGCUCCAGGGGCCUCAGCUAACGAUCCACCUCGGGAACUCUUCCUAUUGCCACCUGAUCGGCUGGCGUUAGAGCCGGCCCAGAGUGCCCCUUCAGGGAGCUCCCCUGGAGGGUACCCUACCAGUGAGAAGAGACAACCCCCGGGGUCAACAGACCCCCCCGAAGAAGACAGGAAGCCUGGUGGGUCUGAGCCUGACUUGGAGAGCAGCAGCCUGGCUUCUCACCUUGGCUCUCAGAUCCUGGGUGAGGUGCAUAACCUCCUUUGGGACCUGCAGAGCUCUCAGGGAUCUGGGCGGGGCAUGGGUCAGGCGGGUCCCGGCCUGAGAGAUCAGCACUCCAGCCCCUUUCUAGCGUUCCAGGUGUCCCCCGUGCAGGGGUCUACUGAUGAGUGUUCCGAGAGCGAAGACUACUCUGAGGAUCAGAGGUUCUACCAGCACAUCCUGCAUAUGGUCAAGAUCUCCAGGCAGCUGGAGGGCCUGGGGCUGCCCGAGAGCACGCAGGAGAUGCCACGUGAAGACAUUGGCAGCAGGGUCUGUUGCAUGGCAGCUGAGUCUUCCACGAUAUCUAGUGAGGGUGAGCACGAGGCCAUCAGAACCAUGGAGAGGGACGCGAGUUUUCUGACUUGUGGCCCGGAGGUGCUGGCGUGUCCUCUGGAGGCGGCUCUUGCCCCUGCUGGGCACGAGGCCCGUCAGCAAGCCGGUUUCCAGCCAAGCAGCAGCCCCCUCAGGCAGGGGCUAGUCGAGCUGAGUUCCAACAGAGGGCUUGCUGCAGAGUCAGGCACGACGCAGCUUCUCAACCAGGCCCCGGGCUCCUCAUUAGCCCCAGUCCACGUCCCUCUUGGGGGCCUGGCUCCCCUAAGAGGCCUUGUGGAUGCCCCGGCCUCUGCUCUUCGUGGAUCGCAAAGCGUGAGCCUGGGGAGCUCAGCGGAAUCUGGUCAGCUUGGAGAACUCACGCUGCCUCCACAGGGUCUCAAGACUUCUGCUUACACAAAGGGUCUCUUGGGCUCCAUCCACGAGGACAAGAAAGCCCUCAGCCUCUUGGCUUUAGGGGAGGAGACCAACGAGGAGGAUGAGGCAGAGAGUGACAACCAGAGUGUCCGCAGCUCAAGUGAGCUUCUUAAGAACCUGCACCUGGACAUUGGGGCGCUGGGGGGUGAUUUUGAGUAUGAGGAGUCUCCAAGAACAAGCCAGCCAGAGGAGAAGAAGGAUGCUUCUCUGGAUUCAGAGGCUGCCGGGCCCCCCACUCCCGGCAAGCUCUUCAGCCAGGAUGCAGACAGCAGUCUGAGCAGUGCCGAUGGCACAGGGCAGCAGGGAAGAGGGGCGAGCGCGUGGCUCCUGGAGAAAGAAAAGGAUGAGAAGAGUGAUUCAGGAAUACCCAGGAGUGGGGUGGACCCUGGGGGCAGUCAGCCUGCCAAAGCCAACAAAGAGGAGGCCCCAGAGGCCCCAGCGGAUGUAGGAGAGGAGGGUUCCCGGAAGGGAGAGGCGGAAGGAGGCGCCGAAGGAGGCAGGAGGCGGAAGGAGGAGCCCAAGGAGGAAGCCUCUGUCCAGAAAGAGAGCAGAUCGGACGCCAGCGAGGUAAGGCCCCUGUCCCUUGGGAACGGGAUCUCAGAGCACCUGAUGGAUGUUGACGUGCUUUCCCCAGUCCACCGGGAGGGGAGUCUCUCUGGAUGCUGGGUAACCCGAGCUGAGCCCUGCUUGUCCCGGGCUGUGUCCUCUCCUCCACUUGUGCCUGGGAGGCGGCUCCAGAGUCCCCUUCCGAGCCAGGCCACCGAAGAAGGGCCUCCCGAGGCCUCUGAGGGGCAGCCUGAGCAGAAGCGGGCAGAGGAGCCCGGGGAGGACUCUGCAGGCAGCUCCAUCCCUGCCGGUUCCCUGAGGAGGUGGGAUAGUAAAGCUAGUGAGUGUUGUUCCACCCUUGGCAGGCGAGCUGCGGAGCCUGCGACUCCCCCAAAGCAGGCUUCCCUGAGGGCCAUGGAGGAGGCCGUGGCCCACGACCUGGAGCAAGACCAGAGGCGGCUUCUGGAAUCGAAACGAGAGAAGAUUCAGCAGCUCCGGGAGAAGCUGUGGCAGGAGGAGGAAGAGGAGGUCCUCCAGCUUCACCAGCAGAAAGAGAAGUCUCUCAGUUCCCUGAAGGCGCAGCUGCGGAAGGCCACCGAGGAAGAGGAGACUCGGAUGAGAGAGGAGGAAAGCCGGCGGCUGUCCCAGCUCCUGGCCCAGGUGCAGUCCCAUGUGGAAGCAGAUGAGAGCCAGAUCAGGGCCGAGCAGGAGGCUUCCCUGCAGAGGCUGAGAGAAGAGUCGGAGUCUCUCCAGAAGGCCGAGAGGGCCAGCUUGGAGCAGAGGAACAGACAGAUGCUGGAGCAGCUCAAGGAAGAGAUGGAGGCCUCGGAGGAGAGAGAGCGGGCUUCCCUGAAGGCCGAGAAGGAGAGGGCUCUGCAGCAGCUCAGGGAACAGCUGGAGGGCGAGAGGAAAGAAGCAGUGGCAGCACUGGAGAGUGAGCACCGAGCUGAGCUGGAGCGGCUCUCUUCCUCGCUGGAGGCCAAGCACAGAGAGGUUGUCUCCAGCCUCCAGAAGAAGAUGGAGGAGGCCCAGCAGAGGGAGGAGGCCCAGCUGCAGGAGAGCCUUGGUCGGGCAGAGCAGAGGGCUCAUCAGAAGGCUCACCAAGUGUUCCAGUACGAGCAAGAGCUCAGCGACCUCCUGCGAGAGAAGCGCCAGCAGGUGGAGAGGGAACACGAGAGGAAGAUGGACAGGAUGAAGGAGGAGCACCAGCAGGUGCUGGCUGAGGCCAGAGAGCAGUACGAAGCCGAGGAGAGGAAGCAGCGGGCUGAACUCCUGGGACACCUGACCUGUGAGCUGGAGCGCCUUCGAAGGUCGCACGAGCGUGAACUAGAGGCCGUGAGGCAGACGCAGGAUAGGCAGCUGGAGGACUUACGGCGGCGGCACCGGGAGCAGGAAAGGAAACUCCAAAAUUUAGAGGUGGAACUGGAAACCAGAACCAAAGAUGUCAAGGCCCGAUUGGCUCAGCUGGACAUCCAGGUGAGAGAGCGGGAGUUGAGGACAGGAUCUCCAGGUGCCCUUGACCGUGGAGAAGCCACAGCCAACCAUCAUCACCUGGAGGAGGCAAAGAAGGAGCACACCCAUCUGUUGGAGACAAACCAACAGCUCCGAAGAAUUCUCGAUGAACUUCGGGCCCACAAGUUGGAGCUAGAGUCCCAGGUGGAUGUGCUGCAGACCCAGAGGUGGAGGCUGCAGAAACAACUCAGCGACCUGGAGGCUGAAACUCAGAGGAAGCAGGAGGUGUUGAAUGAGCUGGCAGCUAAGGAGAGCAAUGCCUCCUCACGUGUUGAGCCAGAUCUCCACAUUGAGGACCUGAGGAAAUCCCUUGGGACAGUGACAUUCGCUUCCCUCUCCAACCCCUCUGCCCUGGCCUCCCACAGCGUCCGACACUACCUCUCUGCCGAGGGGCUAGCCCUCCGCAGUGCCAAGGAGUUCCUGGUGCGGCAGACGCGCUCCAUGCGGAGGCGGCAGACGGCUCUGAAAGCUGCCCAGCAGCACUGGCGCCAGGAGCUGGCCGGCGCUCAGGAAGCCGCCCAAGAUCCACCGGGCACCAAGGCCCUGGAGGACGUGCGCAAGGACUUGGAGGAGACCCGGCACCUGGAUGAGAUGAAGUCGGCCAUGCGGAAGGGCCACGACCUGCUGAAGAAGAAAGAGGAGAAACUGAAUCAGCUGGAGUCCUCUCUUCUGGAAGAGGCCCCAGAUGAGGACAUUCUGAGAGGCGCCCCCCCCAAGAAGGUGGUGACUUUCGACCUCAGCGACACUGAAGACAUGAGCAGCGCAAGUUCUGAAUCCUGCCCCCUGCCUCACCUCAACCUGACCACAAGCGCCACCUUCCCCAACAAGAUCUACUACUUGAGCAGCUCCCUGCAGCGCAUCAGCAGCCAGCUGAAUGGUGUCCUCAGCAUGCUGGGCAGCCUCAACCCGCAGCCGCCACUGCCUCUCUUCACUUCCACGCCGGCGCACGUCCCGCCCCGGGCCGCUGGGAGCACCUCCAUUCCUGCCUGCCCCUCCCGGCUCUCACCCUCGCCGCUGGCUACACCCUCAUCCACCCAGUGGGCCUGGGACCCGGGGCUGGGCCCCAGGCUCUCCUCCUCCGCGGCUCAAACAGUGGAUGACUUCCUGCUGGAGAAGUGGCGCAAAUAUUUUCCAGCUGGAGUACCGUUCCUCAGCACCGGCCCUGCCCCCCUGGAGAACAGGCUGGGUUAUGUGUCGGCCAGCGAGCAGCUGCGGCUCCUGCAGCGGGCCCAUCCCCAGGUCUCCGAGGUGGGCAGCACCGACGUCCAGGGCCUGAUCGAGGCUAACCGAAAGUGGCUCCAGCCUGGGCCCCGGGGGUCCAAGGACGGCCCCGUUUGGCUGGCAGCCUCUUCUGACUUCCUGCAGCUGGGCCUGGAUGAGAACAAUAGGCUGAAGGUGUAUCACUACUGA